UUGCUAAAUAUCUUAAAUGUUAACCUUAUUGUAAACCUUCAACGUUUGAAAUGAAAGAACAAUUUCAAGGUGACUUUGUGAAGGUUGGAACUCACAUGCUGGAGUUUUAGAGAUGGUACAAUUGGUUCCUUUUUCUAGUGGUAUAAAUUUGUAGUGUUAAGCAUUCUAUAUAGAUGGCUCUCUAGUAAUGAUCAUGGCAGCAUUUAUUUUUCUUGUGUUCAAGAUUUAUUAAUAUGAAUUAAUAAUGCUAUCAUAUUUUUAAAAAUUCAAAUAAUUUAAAGCAGGUCAAGGAUUAUUUUAUUAAAAGCUUUUUAUAGCAAUUGUUAAAGCUUUUUUCCAAUUGUUGUCCAACAUUUACUACGAUUUAUUGGAAAUAAAUCUGUUGUACGACUGCGGUGUAGUUACGACCAGAUAAUAUGCAGAUGGUAAAAAUACGAUUGCAGAAUCCCUACUAGAUAAUAUGAACUUGGUCAAGAUACGAUUGUGGCAUCCCUAUAAUGUCUAUUUACAUUUCAAACAUCAAACCGCUAAAUGGUAACAAAAAUUCUUUUGAAAAAUAAUAAGUUUGUUGCUCAUAUCCACAGCCCAAGGGUGGCUGUCACAAAGCCAACUCUUUUCGCGCAACCUGUGUAGUGUAAAAGAGUUGGGAAUAUGUAUAUGGAAAACAAUAAAAAGGUAUUAAGGGAUGUAUGUUGGAAUCUUUGGAUUGGCAAGAAAAUAUUUACAUUAGAAACACAACAGCAAAAUUUAUCAGCCAGGAUAUAAAAAUGUAUUACAUUGUUGUUGUCCAAUGUCAAAGGCAAUCGGAAAACUAGUGUGUUUUGGUGUCAAAGGUUUUGUUGGAUAUUUGCAACAGGCAUUUGUCUUGGCCAGAAAUACAACAACAUAAAGGAAAAAUGGAUAAUGGAGAUUUUAGGAAAAGGAGAAGUAUUUUCCAAUCAGUUUAUUUGUUAUAUUAAGAUUGUAACAAGUGUUUGUUUUGUUUCCAGGUACACGUUUAUGAACGUAUGGAAUGCAUUUUUUUGUGUGCUAUGAAUGACGUAGAAUGUGAGCAGGUAUAUUGGCCUACAUGUGUGUCUACUCUAUUGGUCCAGUUGGGAAUUUAUUGCAGAUAUGAAACAUUAAUGGAAGAUAUAUGAAAUAUUCAAGUUAUUGAAUACUGAUUGUAAUAAAUGCAAUAUGUUUUACAAAAAGCAAAUGAUUCUACGGCCAUAUAUUUACCCUACAUAGUAAAUGGAUAGAUUUUUACCUGAAUGCAUUAAAAGGUAGACGUAUUGAAAAUGACAAACUAAAUGCCUUAUAUAUUCAGAUGUGUGGUGUUGUGUGCUUGUAGAUAAUAACAAACGAACAUGUUGACGGAAAAAGGAAAGUAUUAUUCCAAUUGAAUUUGUGUUGCCAUCAAAAUGUUUAUGAAGUUUCUUUUUUUAGGUAAGCAUUGACGGGAAUCUAAAAUCUAUGAGAAUAUUGACAGUUGGUUUCAUGCGAAUGUCGUUAUAGUAAAUUGGCGAAUUUGAAGAUAAGUAUAUUUUGAAAUUGAUUAUGCUAUUGUUACUAAUAUUUUCUUUCUAUUUUCAGUUUCUGAUAUGAAGUCAUUUCUGGUUAAUAAUAGUUUUCUUUCUUUUUCAGGUAGUUGCAGAAAUUAAUUCAUAAUGGAUCAAUUGAAGGGAGCAAUCAACAUAACAACAAAAUAUGCCGUAGGUUUUGAUCUUUAACAAUUCUGUUUGUAUUGUUUUUGAUUUUAUAUAAUCUUUAAAUAUGAAUAUAAAUUUAUAUUUUUAAAUUUGUUUUAUAUAUUUUUCUUUAAGACUUUUUUUUUUUUUUAGUUAACUUCAAUGAUUUUUUUAAUCUAAUAUUUUAAAUUAUAUAUUUUAUACAAAUUAGAUUUUUAUACAAAUUUAUUUUUUUUAAUAACUUGAGUAAUUUUAAUUUAAGUAUUUUUAACAAUUUUUUUUAAUAUAAACUAAAUAAAUUUUCAAAAAUUAGUUGCAA